GAUGAACGCUAGCUACAGGCUUAACACAUGCAAGUCGAGGGGUAACAAGAGAAAAGCUUGCUUUUCUUGUUGACGACCGGCGCACGGGUGAGUAACGCGUAUCCAACCUGCCUAUGACUAGGGAAUAACCUUGCGAAAGUAAGACUAAUACCCUAUGAUUUCCUUUGAUGACAUCAGAUUAGGAAUAAAGAUUUAUCGGUUAUAGAUGGGGAUGCGUCUGAUUAGCUUGUUGGCGGGGUAUCGGCCCACCAAGGCAACGAUCAGUAGGGGUUCUGAGAGGAAGGUCCCCCACAUUGGAACUGAGACACGGUCCAAACUCCUACGGGAGGCAGCAGUGAGGAAUAUUGGUCAAUGGGCGGAAGCCUGAACCAGCCAAGUAGCGUGCAGGAUGACGGCCCUAUGGGUUGUAAACUGCUUUUAUACAGGAAUAAAGUUAGCCACGUGUGGUUAUUUGUAGGUACUGUAUGAAUAAGGACCGGCUAAUUCCGUGCCAGCAGCCGCGGUAA
rnacentral:rRNA from 1 species